rnacentral:rRNA from 1 species
GACCAACCUUUAAAGACUGCUGCAUCUUCAGGAUAUUCUAGUCCAACAUCGAGGUCACAAACUCUCUUUUCGAUAAGAACUCUUAAAGAGAAUUAUGCUGUUAUCCCUACGGUAACUAAUUCCAUUGAUCAAAAUUUUUGGAUCAAUACUUGCCAGUUUUCUUAGUGAUAAAGAAGCUUUAUUUGUUCCAUAGUCACCCCAACCAAAAUUUUCAAUAGAUUAAUAUUUAGAAUUAUAUAUUGUUCUCAAUUCAUUUUUUUAAAGCUCAAUAGGGUCUUCUUGUCUUUCAAUAUUAUUUAGGUUUCUUCACCUAAAAAUCAAAUUCUAAAAAAUUAUAUAGAGACAGUUUUGUUCACGUCAAACCAUUCAUACUAGCCCUCAAUUAUAGGGCAAAUGAUUAUGCUACCUUUGCACGGUCAGAGUACCGCGGCCGUUAAAAUUUAUUCACUGGGCAGGUCCGACUC